CGGACGGGUGAGUAAUGUCUGGGAAACUGCCCGAUGGAGGGGGAUAACUACUGGAAACGGUAGCUAAUACCGCAUAACGUCGCAAGACCAAAGAGGGGGACCUUAGGGCCUCUUGCCAUCGGAUGUGCCCAGAUGGGAUUAGCUAGUAGGUGGGGUAACGGCUCACCUAGGCGACGAUCCCUAGCUGGCCUGAGAGGAUGACCAGCCACACUGGAACUGAGACACGGUCCAG
rnacentral:rRNA from 1 species